ACGCUGGCGGCAUGCCUAACACAUGCAAGUCGAACGAAUUACCUUCGGGUAGUUAGUGGCGCACGGGUGCGUAACGCGUGGGAAUCUACCCCUUGGUUCGGAAUAACAGUUGGAAACGACUGCUAAUACCGGAUGAUGACGUAAGUCCAAAGAUUUAUCGCCGAGGGAUGAGCCCGCGUAGGAUUAGGUAGUUGGUGUGGUAAAGGCGCACCGAGCCGACGAUCCUUAGCUGGUCUGAGAGGAUGAUCAGCCACACUGGGACUGAGACACGGCCCAGACUCCUACGGGAGGCAGCGGUGGGGAAUAUUGGACAAUGGGCGAAAGCCUGAUCCAGCAAUGCCGCGUGAGUGAUGAAGGCCUUAGGGUUGUAAAGCUCUUUUACCCGGGAUGAUAAUGACAGUACCGGGAGAAUAAGCUCCGGCUAACUCCGUGCCAGCAGCCGCGGUAAUACGGAGGGAGCUAGCGUUAUUCGGAAUUACUGGGCGUAAAGCGCACGUAGGCGGCUUUGUAAGUAAGAGGUGAAAGCCCAGAGCUCAACUCUGGAAUUGCCUUUUAGACUGCAUCGCUUGAAUCAUGGAGAGGUCAGUGGAAUUCCGAGUGUAGAGGUGAAAUUCGUAGAUAUUCGGAAGAACACCAGUGGCGAAGGCGGCUGACUGGACAUGUAUUGA
rnacentral:rRNA from 1 species